rnacentral:tRNA from 1 species
CUAACUUAACUAUACUUCUUAACUACUUUUUAUCUUAUCCUUUUUUUUUUUUUUAUCUAAUAAAUUCAGGGGCUGGGUAAGAUUUUUUA